rnacentral:rRNA from 1 species
UACGGAGGAUCCAAGCGUUAUCCGGAUUCAUUGGGUUUAAAGGGUGCGUAGGCGGAAUGAUAAGUCAGUGGUGAAAAUCCUUCAGCUUAACUGGAGAACUGCCAUUGAUACUGUCAAUCUUGAGUACAUUUGAUGUGGGCGGAAUGUGUCAUGUAGCGGUGAAAUGCUUAGAUAUGACACAGAACACCGAUUGCGAAGGCAGCUCACAAAACUGUAACUGACGCUGAGGCACGAAAGCGUGGGUAGUCAA